GCCCGAGUGGCGGAAUUGGUAGACGCAGGGGAUUCAAAAUCCCCCGGUGGCAACAUCUUGUCGGUUCGAGUCCGACCUCGGGUACCA
rnacentral:tRNA from 1 species